rnacentral:rRNA from 1 species
UACAGAGGGGGCUAGCGUUAUUCGGAAUUAUUGGGCGUAAAGGGUGCGUAGGUGGCUUGGUAAGUUUGAUGUGAAAUCUCCGGGCUUAACCCGGAAAUGGCAUUGAAUACUAUUGAGCUGGAGGUUUGGAGGGGGGACUGGAAUUCUCGGUGUAGCAGUGAAAUGCGUAGAUAUCGAGAGGAACACCAGUGGCGAAGGCGAGUCCCUGGACAACACCUGACACUGAGGCACGAAAGCUAGGGGAGCAAACAGG